UCCUUGGGCAUAUCAAAUAUGGCGCCUCUGGCUUCUCUGGCCUCACUGUCCCACUUGCCCGUAAACACAAUGGCCGCGUCGGGCGCUUUCUUUGGUGGCUGAUGCGGACCGUCUGGGAAGCGGAGGACAGUCUCCUGCCUCUAACAAAGAUGGAGGGGCCCGCAGCCGCGAGUACCUCUCUGGCCGCGAGACACAGCGGCCGAUGAUUGGGCUCAACCACAGGAAGACGCUGGCCGUGAUAGGUCCCCGACUGGCGGGACAUUUGAAGUGACCCGUGGCCCUGAAACCUCUAUUGACAGCCUGGAACGCAACGAGGGCCUCGGCCUCCAGGGUACCCGGGAUUGUGUCCCCAGUAGUCUCCCACCGUUUCUCCCGACGGCGGGAUCUGGAAUCUGGUCCCCAUCCCCGGCGAGAAGACGCACAUGGCCUGGCAGACCCGGGAGACGGCGAGGUAGGAGCCAGGUACUAUGUUCUAAAUCACUUCUCUGGACUAAGGAUGGGGAAGACUUAAGAAGAUGGAGCUAAACAAUAAAUUUGGUUAAUUAAUCAGAUUGAAACAAACUUUCAACCUUUCAUUCUCCUCAUUCUCAUCCCUGGAUCCUGAGAUAGAGAAAAAGAUAAAACCUGAAACUUAGCAGUGUGUUCCAGACCAUGUCCUGCCUUGGAAGACAGCAUGAAUGGCUGAGAAUGAGGCCCCCUGGAAACACAGCUCAAUGAUGGAAGCCUCAUUAAGCCCUGAAAGCCAACCUGGAGUAAAAGCAAAUUCCACUGUCUGGAGGUUAACACAGGAAGGCCUGAACACUGGAGAUAAUGGAAGAGGAGUUAACAAUAUUGAACACCUACUCUAAGUCAGGUAUUGAGAACAGUGA